rnacentral:rRNA from 1 species
UACGAAGGGGGCUAGCGUUGCUCGGAAUCACUGGGCGUAAAGGGUGCGUAGGCGGGUUUUUAAGUCAGGGGUGAAAUCCUGGAGCUCAACUCCAGAACUGCCUUUGAUACUGAGGAUCUUGAGUUCGGGAGAGGUGAGUGGAACUGCGAGUGUAGAGGUGAAAUUCGUAGAUAUUCGCAAGAACACCGGUGGCGAAGGCGGCCAACUGGACCAUUACUGACGCUGAGGCGCGAAAGCGUGGGGAGCAAACAGG